UACGUAGGGUGCAAGCGUUGUCCGGAAUUAUUGGGCGUAAAGAGCUCGUAGGUGGUCUAUCACGUCGGAUGUGAAACCCUGGGGCUCAACCUCAGGCCUGCAUUCGAUACGGGCAGACUAGAGUGUGGUAGGGGAGACUGGAAUUCCUGGUGUAGCGGUGAAAUGCGCAGAUAUCAGGAGGAACACCGGUGGCGAAGGCGGGUCUCUGGGUAGUAACUGACGCUGAGGAGCGAAAGCAUGGGUAGCGAACAGG
rnacentral:rRNA from 1 species